rnacentral:rRNA from 1 species
GACGAACGCUGGCGGCGUGCCUAACACAUGCAAGUGGAGCGACGAACCAGACUUCGGUCUGGGGCCAAGCCGCGAACGGGUGAGUAACACGUGGGUAACCUGCCCCGAUGAUCGGGACAACCCGGGGAAACCCGGGCUAAUACCGAAUGUGGUCGCGGUCCGUGAGGACUGUGACGAAAGGAAGCUUCGGCCUCCGCAUCGGGAUGGGCCCGCGGCCCAUUAGCUUGUUGGUGGGGUAAUGGCCUACCAAGGCAUCGAUGGGUAGCUGGUCUGAGAGGACGAUCAGCCACACUGGGACUGAGACACGGCCCAGACUCCUACGGGAGGCAGCAGUGGGGAAUCUUGCGCAAUGCGCGAAAGCGUGACGCAGCAACGCCGCGUGGGGGAAGAAGGCUUUCGGGUCGUAAACCCCUUUCAGUUGGGACGAAGCUUCGCCGGUGAAUAGCCGGCCGGAGUGACGGUACCUUCACAAGAAGCCCCGGCUAACUACGUGCCAGCAGCCGCCGCCGUAA